UGGAGAUCACAGUUCUUAAUAUCGUUAUUGUGAUUUUCAACAUUUUCGGUAGAUUUUGUAGUGUUCAACCUACCAGUGAUUUUAUCCAGUUUAGAAGAAUCAACGCUUUAGUUGGGAUAACAUGUCAGGCUUCCCAAAAUAUUUUUAAUGUAACAGGUGUACAAAGUGAAAUCCAGUGCUCACUGCUUUGUACAGAAGCACAGGCAUGUGUUGGAGUGUUUCACCAGCCGCAAACAAAGGAAUGCUUUGGCUGCAGUUCUUUCACAGCAGACGAGACAUUGUCACGUGCGGGAAUAUGGUUCUAUGGACGAGUUCCUGGGACAAAUGUUGCUGAAGGCAAGGAGACGACAAUGUCUAGUGUGUCGAGCGUAUAUACCGAUUAUGGGGAGAAAAGGGUGUAGAUGGCAUCACGAACCAAGAUCUCUUUCAAGGCUUCUGCUUUCAUACAAACUAUGAAACUAGUCCUUGGUGGCGGGUUGAUCUCGGAGGCAAAUAUGAAAUCUUCAGUAUCAAGUUAUAUAACAUGUUGAAUUCCGGAGGUGUAUGGAAGGCCAGAGACGUGAGGCUGAGCAUAGGAACGUCCUUGGAGUCUAUGGACAUUGUUGGCUCUGUUCCAGGUCAGAUUGACGAUAUUCAUACCUUCAACUUCUCAGCUGGCAUUGAAGGCAGAUACGUUCAGGUGACACUCGUGGGAGCAAACAUUCUGCAUCUCUGCGAAGUACAAGUCUUUGGCUUUUCAGUUUAGUUUUGAAAUCUUCCUGCAAGUACACAUGACAUGGGUCUACAGUUGAUCAUAUUUUACAUGAUGACUUUGGAACAUGCUAAAGACUCGUAUUGUGAAGAUGUAUCAUUUAGUUUAAAACGUACUACGAAAAACGAUGUGACAUUGUAGCAUUUAAUUUGAAACAUACUAUAAAAGCAUGAUGUGACACUGUAGCAUUUAGUUUAAAACAUACUGUAAAAAACGAUGUGACACUGUAGCAUUUAGUUUGAAACAUACUAUAAAAUACGAUGUGACACUGUAGCAUUUAGUUUGAAACAUAAUAUAAAAACACGAUGUGACACAGUAGCAUUUAGUUUGAAACAAAGAUCCUCUCUAGACAUCAGCUAAGAGUUACUCAACGUUAUAUAUAAUAGUGUGUUAGCAUUUUGUAUCUAUCCAUCCAUUUUUUUAUCCGUGUGUCAUGCAUUUUUGUGACUUCAUUUCUCAUUUGAUAUGUUACACAUUUCCUCAAUAAAUACAUUUGUAUUUCUUAGUUCCCAGUAUCAAAUCCAUGAUUAUUAAUUUAUUCAGACACUAUUUCAAUCCACAUUUUGUUGUAUUUAAUCUGACGUUGUUAAGGACAAAUGCAGUUGUUGUCGGUCGUGUUAUUUUUUAAUGUAAACAGUUGCUUAGCAAUCAUAAAUAUCCAGAUAUACCGCUUUAAAGACAAAAACAUACUAAAUAUCUGGCUUUCUUUAAUCAGUAUGAUACUGAGAAAUUUCCAAUGGCUGCAGCACACAGCAGGACCUAUUUUAAAUGUCUGCAACUUAUAUUUUCUUGAAGAAUAUCGUCAGUGCUGAAUAAAAAUCAAAAGAAAGGUGGGGUCGAGUUUGAUGUAAGAAAAAUAUUUUCAGUGCAAAAUAACUAAAAAAUUAGACCCUGAAUUGCAGUGGUAUUGUAUGACCUAAGAUUCUAUGAAAAUUUCCGUCAAGCUUUCAGCAAUUGAUUGCAAAAAAGUAAGGAAAAUAGCUCUACAGAGAAUGAAAAAAUUGAAUAUUUGAAUACGCCAUUAUGCGACUUCCAUUUUUUCGCGCCAUUUUUCCUAUUUAGUGUCUCCAUAUAUUCUUAUUUUAUGAUAUUUGUCGGUUAUUAUUUGUCAACAAAAAAGUAUCGAGUUUUCACUAUACCUGACUUUUUCGACGAUUAAUAUAUUCAAUUUAUAAAAAGAAACAUUUAUACGAAUAUGAUCGUUUAUUGACCUACUGUAUUUUUUCUACUCGGCACCUCUUUUUGCGAACACGCACAUUUUAUUGUAUUGCACAGAAUAUUGUGUUAAGUAUCUCGUUCUCUAAAAUUCUUCUUUACGUAUUAUACCAAAACGUACAAACCAAGAGGCAAUAAUAAUAAAGACAAUCAUAU